UGGGGAAUUUUGCGCAAUGGGGGAAACCCUGACGCAGCAACGCCGCGUGAGUGAUGAAGGCCUUGGGGUCGUAAAGCUCUGUCAGAGGGAAAGAAAUGUGGGCGGCUAAUAUCUGUUCCACUUGACGGUACCCUCAAAG
rnacentral:rRNA from 1 species